rnacentral:rRNA from 1 species
AAAACAUUUCUUUAUGAAUAAAAUAAUAAGUAGUCUCUGCCCAAUGAAAAUUUAAUGGCUGCAAUAUUAUAAUUGUACAAAGGUAGCAUAAUAAAUUGUUCUUUAAAUAAGAUCUAGUAUGAAAGAGUUGAUGAAUUAUAAUCUUUAUUUAAAAUAUAAGUUGAAUUUAAUUUUAAAGUAAAAAUUCUUUAAUGAAUUUAUGGGACGAGAAGACCCUAUAGAAUUUUAUUAUUAUAAAUUUAUAUAAAAUUAUAUAAAUUUAAAUUAAUUUAUUUGGGAGGAAUAAUAAAUUUUUAAACUUUAUUUGAUUAUAAACAAAUAUAAUUGGUUUAAAAGAUUUUGAAUAAUUAAAUAAAAGAUUAAAUUACCUUAGGGAUAACAGCAUAAUAUUUUUAGAAAGUUCUUA